GAUGAACGCUGGCGGCGUGCUUAACACAUGCAAGUCGAACGGAAAGGCCCCAGCUUGCUGGGGUACUCGAGUGGCGAACGGGUGAGUAACACGUGGGUGAUCUGCGCUGCACUUUGGGAUAAGCGUGGGAAACUGGGUCUAAUACCGAAUAUGACCACUUCUUGGAUGUUGUAGGGGACAGCUUUUGCGGUGUGGGAUGAGCCUGCGGCCUAUCAGCUUGUUGGUGGGGUAAUGGCCUACCAAGUCGGCGACGGGUAUCCGGCCUGAGAGGGAGUACAGACACAUUGGGACUGAGAUACGGCCCAGACUCCUACGGGAGGCAGCAGUGGGGAAUAUUGCACAAUGGGCGCAAGCCUGAUGCAGCGACGCCGCGUGGGGGAUGAAGGCCUUCGGGUUGUAAACUCCUUUCGCUAUCGACGAAGCCACUUGUGGUGACGGUAGGUAGAUAAGAAGCACCGGCUAACUACGUGCCAGCCGCCGCAGUAA
rnacentral:rRNA from 1 species